rnacentral:rRNA from 1 species
GACGAACGCUGGCGGCGUGCUUAACACAUGCAAGUCGAACGGAAAGGCCCUGCUUUUGUGGGGUGCUCGAGUGGCGAACGGGUGAGUAACACGUGAGUAACCUGCCCUUGACUUUGGGAUAACUUCAGGAAACUGGGGCUCAUACCGGAUAGGAGCUCCUGCUGCAUGGUGGGGGUUGGAAAGUUUCGGCGGUUGGGGAUGGACUCGCGGCUUAUCCGCUUGUUGGUGGGGUAGUGGCUUACCAAGGCUUUGACGGGUAGCCGGCCUGAGAGGGUGACCGGCCACAUUGGGACUGAGGUACGGCCCAGACUCCUACGGGAGGCAGCAGUGGGGAAUAUUGCACAAUGGGCGGAAGCCUGAUGCAGCAACGCCGCGUGCGGGAUGACGGCCUUCGGGUUGUAAACCGCUUUCGCCUGUGACGAAGCGUGAGUGACGGUAAUGGGUAAAGAAGCACCGGCUAACUACGUG